AUGCUGCAGGCAGCCAGGUACCUCCUGGGCUCCGCGGGAGCCAGCCGGUUCAGCUCCAAGUCCACCGCCGAGGAGGUCACGGCCGCCUGCCCGGACAUCGGCUCGCUCACCGCCAUCAUCACGGGUGCCACGUCGGGCAUUGGGGCGGAGACGGCAUGGGUGCUGGCCAAGCGGGGUGCCAGGGUGGUCAUCCCGACGCGGAGCGUCAAGGCGGCCGAGGACAUGCCUGCGCGCAUCCUGGUCGAGUGCCCCUGCUUCUUGGACCGGAGCGCCACGGUCGGCGGCGAGCCUGGGCUCGCGGGAAGCCUGGGGACACCGGCGGUCGACGGCCACACCGGCGGAGAAGUGGCCGGGGCCACCGCUGGAAGAAGGCGCUUCUUGAUCGACAGCGCCGACGACUCCACGGACGGCGGCGGUGCCGCGGCCGACGGGAUCGACGGAAGCAGAGGGAGAGAAAGCGGGGAUUGA
rnacentral:rRNA from 1 species